UUUGACAGUCAGCCUGUAGCUUUCCAACGCCAAAGCAAAGAAUGAGAAUAACAAUACAAGAUGUUUGAAAUACCUUCCAUCUGAGUCAUUAUGACUUCAUUGUUUCUAAGAAAUGGAGAUUUUUGGAGACUCUAACAUGAACAUAUAGAAUGAACAGGAAUGGUGGUACACCCCU